AACUCCAGAGAUGUCCCAAAUUCAAGCAAGAAGGCUGGACUUUUGUAUCCCCGUGUUAAUCAAUCUUUGGACAUGGGCUACCCCAGGAAGGUGGGUCAGGCACUUCCCCUGCGGGUCAUGUUGCUGCUCCAUCUAAUUAUCGUCUGGCGGCCAGCAGAGGAAAUGAAUGCCAGGGGCUAGCCCUACUCCACCUCCCACCGGUAAGGAGGACUUUACUGAUAGCCUGCUGGUGUGACCUGCACGUAUAUAUCCAGAUGGCCUGAAGUAACUGAAGAAUCACAGAGGAAGUGAAAUUUAAAUGGCCUG
rnacentral:lncRNA from 1 species